rnacentral:rRNA from 1 species
GACGUAGGGGGCGAGCGUUGUCCGGAUUUAUUGGGCGUAAAGCGUGCGUAGGCGGCUGCGCAAGUCGGGUGUGAAACCCCGGGGCUCAACCCCGGAACUGCAUCCGAUACUGCGUGGCUAGAGGUAGGUAGGGGAGAUCGGAAUUCCUGGUGUAGCGGUGAAAUGCGCAGAUAUCAGGAGGAACACCAAUGGCGAAGGCAGCUCGCUGGGACGUGACUGACGCUGAGACACGAAAGCGUGGGGAGCAAACAGG